AAAAAGCCCUGUGAUUUUACCUCAGUGUUUCCAGCCUCCAUGAACAGACUUUGGCUGGUAAGGAUCAACAGAAGAUCCAGGUUAUGGCUUCACCAGACCCAAUUGCAAGGUAGCUGCAAGUAUCCAAAUUCUGCUGAUCAUCCAGGUUCUGUGCAAGCAUCAUCUACUCUACAAAGCCUUCUGUUAUCAUUCUAGUUCUCAACAACACUUCCUUCUCUGAACAAGACUAGAACUGUAGGACACUAGAAGGUGUUGUGUGAGAAAUCCACACAGGAGCAACCCAAGAAAACCAUGCAGAUAAAUGCUAGACUGGCAAGACACAGAGCAAGCAUGCCAAGUGGUGCCCACAGCCAGAGCUUGGGAGCCAAACUUUGGAAGGUACCUGCUCGCCGAUGCACUUCUACUUUGGAGCCCUUCUACAGAUUAUACAAGUGGCACCCAAUAGUGAAGGUUUGAAUUCAAGGUUGCCAAGCAGCAAUUUCAGAUAGGGCCUCCUUGCCUUUGGAAAAUAAAUGGGAAACUGACUCAAGC